AGAGUUUGAUCCUGGCUCAGGAUGAACGCUAGCGAUAGGCUUAACACAUGCAAGUCGAGGGGCAGCACUUUAAGGUGGCGACCGGCGCACGGGUGAGUAACACGUAUGCAACCUACCCAUAACAGGGGGAUAGGCCGUUGAAAGACGGAUUAAUACCGCAUAAAGCAGGGGUACCACAUGGUAAUAUUUGCUAAAGAUUUAUCGGUUAUGGAUGGGCAUGCGUUCCAUUAGAUAGUUGGUUGAGGUAACGGCUCACCAAGUCUUCGAUGGAUAGGGGAACUGAGAGGUUUAUCCCCCACACUGGUACUGAGACACGGACCAGACUCCUACGGGAGGCAGCAGUGAGGAAUAUUGGUCAAUGGCCGCAGGGCUGAACCAGCCAAAUCGCGUGAAGGACGACGGUAUUAUGUAUUGUAAACUUCUUUUGAGGGGGAAUAAAGUGAGGGACGUGUCCUUUUUUGUAUGUACCUUUCGAAUAAGCAUCGGCUAACUCCGUGCCAGCAGCCGCGGUAAUACGGAGGAUGCGAGCGUUAUCCGGAUUUAUUGGGUUUAAAGGGUGCGUAGGUGGAUGGAUCAGUCAGCGGUGAAAUCCCGGAGCUUAACUCCGGCACUGCCGUUGAAACUGUCCGUCUUGAGUGUAAACGAGGCAGGCGGAAUUCGUAGUGUAGCGGUGAAAUGCAUAGAUAUUACGAAGAACCCCGAUAGCGCAGGCAGCUUGCCAGGCUACAACUGACACUGAAGCACGAAAGUGUGGGUAUCAAACAGGAUUAGAUACCCUGGUAGUCCACACAGUAAACGAUGAUUACUCGCUGUUUGCGAUAUACGGCAAGCGGCUUAGCGAAAGCGUUAAGUAAUCCACCUGGGGAGUACGCCGGCAACGGUGAAACUCAAAGGAAUUGACGGGGGCCCGCACAAGCGGAGGAACAUGUGGUUUAAUUCGAUGAUACGCGAGGAACCUUACCCGGGCUCGAACGGCAGUGGAAUGUUUGUGAAAGCAGGCAGCCAGCAAUGGUCGCU
rnacentral:rRNA from 1 species